rnacentral:sRNA from 1 species
AUCAAAUCUGACUGCUGCCUUUCAAGUUCAAGCUUCUCCUGUUAUUGAUUCUCAAGUUAAUAUGGCUCAAGGUUCAUACAAGA